UGCUUCUACUGCUUUUUUCAGUUUCUCCGU
rnacentral:piRNA from 1 species